rnacentral:tRNA from 1 species
GCCUGGGUGGCUCAGUCGGUUGAGCGUCUGACUUCGACUCAGGUCAUGAUCUCACAGUCUGUGAGUUCGAGCCCUGCAUCGGGCU